rnacentral:rRNA from 1 species
GACGAACGCUGGCGGCGUGCUUAACACAUGCAAGUCGAACGGAGUGGCGAACGGGUGAGUAACACGUGGGUGAUCUGCCUUGCACUCUGGGAUAAGCUUGGGAAACUGGGUCUAAUACCGGAUAGUGCAAGAUGAGCUCGCGGCCUAUCAGCUUGUUGGUUGGGUAAUGGCAUACCAAGGCGUCGACGGGUAGCCGGCCUGAGAGGGUGUACGGCACCAUUGGGACUGAGGUACGGCCCAGAUUCCGACGGGAGGAAGCAGGGGGGAAUAUUGCACAAUGGGCGGAAGCCUGAUGCAGCGACGCCGCGUGGGGGAUGACGGCUUUCGUGUUGUAAACUCCGUUCGACAGGGACGCGGUACCUGUAUAAGAAGCACCGGCUAACUACGUGCCAGCAGCCGCGGUAAUAC